rnacentral:rRNA from 1 species
GAUGAACGCUGGCGGCGUGCCUAAUACAUGCAAGUCGAGCGAACAGACGAGGAGCUUGCUCCUCUGACGUUAGCGGCGGACGUGUGAGUAACACGUGGAUCACCUACCUAUAUGACUGGUAUAACUUCGGGAAACCGGAGCUAAUACCGGAUAAUAUAUUGAACCGCAUGGUUCAAUAGUGAAAUUCGGUUUUGCUGUCACUUAUAGAUGCAUCCGCGCCGCUUUAGCUAGUCGGUAAGGUAACGGCUUACCACGGCUACGAUGCGUAGCCGACGUGUGAGGGUGAUCGCCGACACGGGAGCUGGAACACGGUCCAGGCUCCUACGGGAGGCAGCAGUAGGGAAUCGGACGCAAAAGGCGAAAGCAUGACGGAGCGACGCGGCGUGAGUGGUGAAGGUGUUCGGAGCGUAAUGCUCGGUUAUGAGGGAAGAACAAAUGUGUAAGGAACUGUGGACGUAUUGACGGUACCUGAUCAGAAAGCAACGGCUAACUACGUG